GACGAACGCUGGCGGCGUGCUUAACACAUGCAAGUCGAACGGAAAGGCCCUGCUUGCAGGGUGCUCGAGUGUCGAACGGGUGAGUAACACGUGGGUGAUCUGCCCCUUACUUUGGGAUAAGCCUGGGAAACUGGGUCUAAUACUGGAUAGGACCAUGCUGUAGGUGGUGUGGUGGAAAGAUUAGUUUCGGUAAGGGAUGAGCUCGCGGCCUAUCAGCUUGUUGGUGGGGUAAUGGCCUACCAAGGCGUCGACGGGUAGCCGGCCUGAGAGGGUGGACGGCCACAUUGGGACUGCGAUGCGGCCCAGACUCCUACGGGAGGCAGCAGUGGGGAAUAUUGCACAGUGGGCGCAAGCCUGAUGCAGCGACGCCGCGUGGGGGAUGACGGCCUUCGGGUGGUAAACUCCUGUCAGCCAUGACGAAGCCCUUGUGGUGACGGUAGUGGUAGAAGAAGCACCGGCUAACUACGUG
rnacentral:rRNA from 1 species